GGGCCCGUGGCGUAGCCAGGAUAACGCGCUGGCCCUCUAAGCCGGAGAUCCUGGGUUCAACUCCCAGCGGGCCCGCCA
rnacentral:tRNA from 1 species